rnacentral:sRNA from 2 species
UAUCUCUCCGUACGGGGAAGGAUGAGAAGCUUCGACUAAGGUUCGAUUCGAGCGCAGCGAGAAAGCGUUGCCGCAGGCAACGACCCGAAGGGCGAAGCGCGCAGC